CAUUAAACAAGCAUAUCUUUCAUUAUAACCUCAGGAGAAUGGUAUCAGGUAGGAAUUACAGCAGAUGAGACUUGCAUACCUGAACAAUUUUGUCAAGCGUGCUUCUACUUUGCAAGAGGCAGGGGGGUGGGGCGGGUGUUGUCCAGCAUCCAUGGGAGAAUUUACAGCAAAACUGUGGGGAAAGGGGCGGUUGCAAAAUCACUAAUAUGGAAAAGUGAGGGGCCACACAAUGUAAAACUUGUUCCAUGGAAAUGAGGACUGGGAAGUGCAAAGGAAGCCAGUACAGUGGUACCUCGGGUUACAUACGCUUCAGGUUACAUACGCUUCAGGUUACACACUCCGCUAACCCAGAAAUAGUGCUUCAGGUUAAGAACUUUGCUUCAGGAUGAGAACAGAAAUCGUGCUGUGGCGGCGCGGCAGCAGCAGGAGGCCCCAUUAGCUAAAGUGGUGCUUCAGGUUAAGAACAGUUUCAGGUUAAGUACAGACCUCCAGAACAAAUUAAGUACUUAACCCAACGUACCACUGUAUAGGAAUGAGAGAUGGUUGGUAAAAGGGGCUGGUGAAACCGGCCCCCGCCAGGGCGCAGGCCCAUGUGUGUGUGCCGGAACUGAGUUCCGGCAAGUUCCAGCUGACAAAAAGCCCUGAGUGUGUGUGGCGAAGCAACACUACGAUUGUGGGGAGAUAAAACGCACGAGAAGCUUCCCUCCCUUUUCGCACUGUGGCACAAAGGCGCGCAAAUAUAUAUUUUUUGCCCUUCCUCCUCACCUUGCCCUCACUCUGAACACUCUGAGUACUUGGGUCGCAUAAAAUGUAGUAAUUUCUAACGUGGCCAUUACUGUAAGGGAUUUUUUUCCCCAAAGGGGAGGGGGAUACAGCUCCUUGCCAAGGGCACAGGGUAUCCCAGGUAUGCCUCCGCAUAGGGUCAGACAUUUAGGGUUGGACCAGCCAUUUGCACUGUGGUGGCCGACAAACCGUCAUGUUCCUCUGCCACUAUCAGAUCAGUAGAGCCUGUGAGGGCAUCUAUGGAGGAACGCACCCCACACAACACAUGCAGCUUGCAGUCUCACAUGCAGCAUGUGAAAUGGUGCACUGCAGUUGUAUUUGGUUUGGGAACUUGUAUACAGUGGUACCUCGGGUUAAGAACUUAAUUCGUUCUGGAGGUCUGUUCUUAACCUGAAACUGUUCUUAACCUGAAGCACCACUUAACCUGAAGCACCACUGCGCCACCGGAGCACGAUUUCUGUUCACAUCCUGAAGCAAAGUUCUUAACCCGAGGUACUAUUUCUGGGUUAGCGGAGUCUGUAACCUGAAGCGUAUGUAACCCAAGGUACCACUGUAUGUGUGUCUUUAUGCCAACUCAUAAAAUAAACCCACACCAUUGUGGAAAGGCAAUAUAAAUUAUGCUAAUGCAUAAUAAGAGCAUUACAUAAGGGAGGGGCCCACUGUAUCCUCAAAAGCACACAAAGGAUGUAGAAGGGCCUAGUAUUGCUUUGAUGAGGGAUAAUGAGAUUAGAUAAGAUGAAGGAGCUUGAUUAGGCAGGCAAAGCUGAGGAUGGGAAUGCCCAGCACCACUUUUCCCAAACAUGCCUCAGACCUUCCAUCAUCCUCUGCCCUGCCAAGGAAGCUAGGAGCAGAAAGGUCUCUAAAAAGGUGUCACAGCUCCUCCAGGAAAAGGGAAUGACACUGCAUUAAUGGUGGGGGACCCCAGUCGCACAAAAACAAGAAGUGGAAAGCAUGUGGAGCAAUGAUUCCAGAGAGAGAUGAUUAAUGCAUAAAGGCAGGAAGCCGUGACUGAAGUAUUUCAAAAUAAUGGUUUUUACGACCAUAGUCUUUGUUAAUGGCCGCCAGAAAUACAGGGAAAUUCCCCGUUGGCACCAGUGGGUGUUUUGAAGGGAUGUCCACUGGCUGCAGACUUCAGUACGUCUCUCUAGCUUUGGGAAACAUCUAAAUCUAUUUCAGAGCCACUCCGUGUCUUUCCUAUUCAUUCUUCAUGAUCCACUUAGAUGUAUUUUUUCUUAAAAAUAAACUCUGUUCCCCUUCCCCAUUCACUAUGACGGGGAAUUUUAAAAUGGCUUUAACAUCUGCUCUAUUUCAUCUGGGGUGGGGUGAACGUGUGGCCUGGGUUGUGUGUGGCCUAGACAGACCAAGGCCACGAAACUACUUAGAAGCUUAUGGAGUUCCUGAUCUGCCUCAAGGCAUAUUGCUACUAACCUGAUCCAACUCAGAAACAUAAGUUCACCUAGAAAUUCAGGGUGUACACAGAGCUGAUGCGCUCAGCUAGCAUUUCCGCCCACUGCAAAUACUAGUUUGAGGGGAAGAUUUUUCCUCAGUGUUAAGUUGUGGGUGAACAUAUCAGAUGACAUAGCGAUUCUUCAAACAGCUUUUGUUUAUUCACAGGCCAGAACAGAACUGAACUGAAGGGUUCAGCCAGCCUGCUUAUAUAGAGCUCAACUACAAUGCAACAGUAACCACUUUCUGUAACUAUCCAAUCACUGAACGUCACUUUUAAUUCCUUAUUUGCAUAUGUGGACCUGAGUGAAAACUAUCUACAGUAUCCCCCUGCUGGCCCAGGGUGAGAACUUCAGUACAUAACACUCAGGACUACAGUUUGACAGAGCAGAGUUAAAUUCUCCCUCUAUGCUCUGCUCAGAUCCUGUCAAUUUCCCAGUUGGUAAAUUUUGCAUUUUGAUAAAAACCUCACACCUUUGCCCUAAGUGAUGUAGCGUUUUCUUGCACUAGCACAGUGUUUGGCAUUAAACCACAUCUAACAGAGAGGACUUUUAUCCUAAAGAAAAAAGGAAGCUUUCAGUUUGGUACAUGUUUGCAAUGGCUAACAAUUACAUUUACAGUGGUGCCUCGCAAGACGAAAAGAAUCCGUUCCGCGAGUCUCUUCGUCUUGCGGGUUUUUUCGUCUUGCGAAGCAAGCCCAUUAGAGGUUUAGUGGCUUAGCGCUACAGUAUUAGCGGCUUAGCCGGCUUAAAGAUCAGCUGAUAAGCGGCUUAACGAUCAGCUGAUAAGCGGCUUAACGAUCAGCUGAUAAGCGGCUUAGCAUCAGCUGUUAAGCGGCUUAAAGAUCAGCUGAUAAGCGGCUUAGCAUCAGCUGUUAAGCGGCUUAAAGAUCAGCUGAUAAGCGGCUUAGCCAUCAGCUGAUAAGCGGUUUAGCGGCUUGGGAAAAAGGGGGGGGAAAGGAAAAAAAACCCCGCAGGAACUCGCAAGACAUUUUCGUCUUGCGAAGCAAGCACAUAGGAAAUUCGUUUUGCGAAGCACCUCCAAAACGGAAAACCCUUUCGUCUAGCGGGUUUUCCGUCUUGCGAGGCAUUCGUCUUGCGGGGCACCACUGUACUCGGUACACUCUUUUUGGGGGCUGGGAUGGGAAUAGUAAACUAAAGUCUUUCUUCCAUUAUGGAGAAAGGAGAUGACAAAAUGAGAUUCAAAACUUAAGUUCUCUAGAUUUCUUAGUUUGCUUAGAUAUGUGUUGAUUAUUCUUGAAACAAAAUCCCUGGUGUAUAGAUGGAAAAAUUAGAAAACAAGAAGUAAAAUGGUGGAUGGAAGGCCUGAAGGAAAAGGCAAACAGAGUAGGAAUGAAGAGGCAGUCUCUUUAUCUAGCUUUUCUAAGCACUUGUAUUAUGAAUAAUGGUUUAAAAAAAAUUAUGCUGUUUAUCUAGCCAUUAGUUGAGUAAACACUGCAGCCCUAAUAUUUUGUUAAAAUUACAUUUAUAUCACAUAUUUCUUCCAUCACGAAGCUUAAGGCAGCGUAUAUGUGGUUUGAAGGAGGUCUCCUAACCAGGAACUACCCAGACCAGUUCACUUCUGCAAGGCAGUGGCUUAAUGUGCCUUCAGACCAGGUCACAUCUUGCUGCUGAAGCUAACAGGUGCAAUCCUGUGCACACUUACCUAGAAGUGGGUCUCAUCCAACUCAGAUUUGCCUUCAUAGUCCCGACCUAUGGGUGAAAUUAACAAACAUGUUUUCCCUUUGUAAGGUAUAACUGAGUGAAAGGCAGAGAGUGUUGUGUGUUGGGAGGAAAGCAAAAGGCAAUUACUUUAGGUUUGUAGUUUUCUACAGAAUCUGGAAUUUAAUAGAUGACUCCCCCACCCCACUAAUUUAUGGCGUUCUGUCGCCUCAUUUCAAUCUGCCUCUUUUAUAAUUCAAAUACUAAUAUUACAGGUGAAAUAAUAGACUUUGUUGACUCAAUGUAUCUCUCACAGAAUGUGUAAAUCCAUCCCUUCUAUUUCCGUCAGGGAUGGCUGGGUGAACAACCUCUAUAAAUAAGCAAAGAAGUGACAUGAAUAAUUCCGCCUUGAAUUAAGGACCAAUGCUAUCCUCAUGUGACUUGAGUGAAGACCUACAAUAAACCUGGUGCCAUCAGCAGUGCCCCUGUGCAAGAACUGCGUGCCAGAAGUCCCAGCUAAUAAUUAAAGGUUCACCA